AAGCCAACUCUUUCAGACUACAAGCCAACUCCAGCAUACUUUGAGUUGACCCUAAUUUCAGUCGAGUUGACUCUCUUAAGGUAAGACAGAGAUGUACCAAAAUCAAUCUAUUUUCGAGUCGACCCCAAGUCAAUUUCAAGAUGACCCAAAGUUGCUACAAGUCAACUCCAUUAUGCCUAACAACUAUAAUGGCUAGUCUGCAGAGGCUGUAGAAAUAUGCAGAAUAACUUCAAUAGCUAGUUUUAGUCUCCCAAUAGCCAAAAACUCCUUUCCAAACCUUCCAAGAGCUCUAAAUGCAUGCCGAACACAUUAAAGAAGUAAGAGGAGGAGGAAAACAAAGAGAAAAUCUAUGAAAUGCUUAGAGUUCACUUAAGAGAAAGCAUGUACUUUCCAACCACCACACUCUUGAAUUUU
rnacentral:lncRNA from 1 species